rnacentral:rRNA from 1 species
AUUGAACGCUGGCGGCAUGCCUUACACAUGCAAGUCGAACGGCAGCACGGGAGCAAUCCUGGUGGCGAGUGGCGAACGGGUGAGUAAUAUAUCGGAACGUGCCCCAGUCGUGGGGGAUAACGUAGCGAAAGCUACGCUAAUACCGCAUACGAUCUAUGGAUGAAAGCGGGGGAUCGCAAGACCUCGCGCGAUUGGAGCGGCCGAUAUCAGAUUAGGUAGUUGGUGGGGUAAAAGCCUACCAAGCCUUCGAUCUGUAGCUGGUCUGAGAGGACGACCAGCCACACUGGAACUGAGACACAGUCCAGACUCCUACGGGAGGCAGCAGUGGGGAAUUUUGGACAAUGGGCGCAAGCCUGAUCCAGCAAUGCCGCGUGCAGGAUGAA